rnacentral:rRNA from 1 species
CGGAGAAGGCUAUGUUGGCCGGGCGACGGUUGUCCCGGUUUAAGCGUGUAGGCUGGUUUUCCAGGCAAAUCCGGAAAAUCAAGGCUGAGGCGUGAUGACGAGGCACUACGGUGCUGAAGCGACAAAUGCCCUGCUUCCAGGAAAAGCCUCUAAGCAUCAGGUAACAUCAAAUCGUACCCCAAACCGACACAGGUGGUCAGGUAGAGAAUACCAAGGCGCUUGAGAGAACUCGGGUGAAGGAACUAGGCAAAAUGGUGCCGUAACUUCGGGAGAAGGCACGCUGAUAUGUAGGUGAAGCGACUUGCUCGUGGAGCUGAAAUCAGUCGAAGAUACCAGCUGGCUGCAACUGUUUAUUAAAAACACAGCACUGUGCAAACACGAAAGUGGACGUAUACGGUGUGACGCCUGCCCGGUGCCGGAAGGUUAAUUGAUGGGGUUAGCGGUAACGCGAAGCUCUUGAUCGAAGCCCCGGUAAACGGCGGCCGUAACUAUAACGGUCCUAAGGUAGCGAAAUUCCUUGUCGGGUAAGUUCCGACCUGCACGAAUGGCGUAAUGAUGGCCAGGCUGUCUCCACCCGAGACUCAGUGAAAUUGAACUCGCUGUGAAGAUGCAGUGUACCCGCGGCAAGACGGAAAGACCCCGUGAACCUUUACUAUAGCUUGACACUGAACAUUGAGCCUUGAUGUGUAGGAUAGGUGGGAGGCUUUGAAGUGUGGACGCCAGUCUGCAUGGAGCCGACCUUGAAAUACCACCCUUUAAUGUUUGAUGUUCUAACGUGGGCCCCUUACCGGGGUUGCGGACAGUGUCUGGUGGGUAGUUUGACUGGGGCGGUCUCCUCCUAAAGAGUAACGGAGGAGCACGAAGGUUGGCUAAUCCUGGUCGGACAUCAGGAGGUUAGUGCAAUGGCAUAAGCCAGCUUGACUGCGAGCGUGACGGCGCGAGCAGGUGCGAAAGCAGGUCAUAGUGAUCCGGUGGUUCUGAAUGGAAGGGCCAUCGCUCAACGGAUAAAAGGUACUCCGGGGAUAACAGGCUGAUACCGCCCAAGAGUUCAUAUCGACGGCGGUGUUUGGCACCUCGAUGUCGGCUCAUCACAUCCUGGGGCUGAAGUAGGUCCCAAGGGUAUGGCUGUUCGCCAUUUAAAGUGGUACGCGAGCUGGGUUUAGAACGUCGUGAGACAGUUCGGUCCCUAUCUGCCGUGGGCGCUGGAGAACUGAGGGGGGCUGCUCCUAGUACGAGAGGACCGGAGUGGACGCAUCACUGGUGUUCGGGUUGUCAUGCCAAUGGCACUGCCCGGUAGCUAAAUGCGGAAGAGAUAAGUGCUGAAAGCAUCUAAGCACGAAACUUGCCCCGAGAUGAGUUCUCCCUGACUCCUUGAGAGUCCUGAAGGAACGUUGAAGACGACGACGUUGAUAGGCCGGGUGUGUAAGCGCAGCGAUGCGUUGAGCUAACCGGUACUAAUGAACCGUGAGGCUUAACCUU